UUGCUAUCCAGAGAGCGGCGUACGGGUGCGUAACACGUGUGCAACCUGCCUUUAUCUGGGGGAUAGCCUUUCGAAAGGAAGAUUAAUACCCCAUAAUAUGGUGUCCGGCAUCGGUCGCCAUUGAAAGCCUCGGCGGAUAGAGAUGGGCACGCGCAAGAUUAGAUAGUUGGCGGGGUAACGGCCCACCAAGUCGAUGAUCUUUAGGGGUCCUGAGAGGGAGAUCCCCCACACUGGUACUGAGACACGGACCAGACUCCUACGGGAGGCAGCAGUGAGGAAUAUUGGACAAUGGGUGGAAGCCUGAUCCAGCCAUCCCGCGUGAAGGAUGACGGUCCUAUGGAUUGUAAACUUCUUUUGUACAGGGAUAAACCUGCCCUCGUGAGGGCAGCUGAAGGUACUGUACGAAUAAGCACCGGCUAACUCCGUGCCAGCAGCCGCGGUAAUACGGAGGGUGCGAGCGUUAUCCGGAUUUAUUGGGUUUAAAGGGUCCGUAGGCGGGCCUGUAAGUCAGUGGUGAAAUCUCAUAGCUUAACUAUGAAACUGCCACUGAUACUGCAGGCCUUGAGUAAAUUUGAAGUGGCUGGAAUAAGUAGUGUAGCGGUGAAAUGCAUAGAUAUUACUUAGAACACCGAUUGCGAAGGCAGGUCACUAAGAUUUAACUGACGCUGAUGGACGAAAGCGUGGGGAGCGAACAGGAUUAGAUACCCUGGUAGUCCACGCCGUAAACGAUGCUAACUCGUUUUUGGAUCUUCGGGUUCAGAGACCAAGCGAAAGUGAUAAGUUAGCCACCUGGGGAGUACGUCCGCAAGGAUGAAACUCAAAGGAAUUGACGGGGGCCCGCACAAGCGGUGGAUUAUGUGGUUUAAUUCGAUGAUACGCGAGGAACCUUACCAAGACUUAAAUGGGAAUUGACAGAUUUAGAAAUAGAUCCUCCUUCGGGCAAUUUUCAAGGUGCUGCAUGGUUGUCGUCAGCUCGUGCCGUGAGGUGUUAGGUUAAGUCCUGCAACGAGCGCAACCCCUGCCAACAGUUGCCAUCAUUCAGUUGGGGACUCUGUUGGGACUGCCUACGCAAGUAGAGAGGAAGGUGGGGAUGACGUCAAAUCAUCACGGCCCUUACGUCUUGGGCCACACACGUAAUACAAUGGCCGGUACAGAGGGCAGCUACCUGGUGACAGGAUGCGAAUCUCGAAAGCCGGU
rnacentral:rRNA from 1 species